CACACCAUUAGUUUUACUGUCACAACACAGCACAGGUGGGGGAUAUUUGAAGUAGCCAGUUGUUGCUGGAGAGAGCGAGGGAGAAGGAGCCAGUCAGAGCGCACGACGAGACGUGGCCGGUAGCAGUCAGUCAACGAGGGUAAUAUCCCGGUGCGAGCCAGCGCACGGGCAUACAGAGCGAGAGGGUACGCGUCCCGGACACUUUACAGUAGGCUGGCUACCUCCUGUGUUACAAAUUCAUAUAUGAAGAAAAGCAAUCAGGUGGUCCUGAAUGGAAAUUUGCAGAAUUUCUUUACAACUACAAAAAGGCGAAUAAAACGGUUCCAUGACUCUAUGGAGACAUUUUCAUUUGUAAUUCCCGAGACAUUUCUUCCCAUUCUUUCCAAGAAGUGACGCAACAUCAACACUCCCAGUAAACUGGACACAGGAAUAUUUGUUGUGGUACAGAACUACACCAGAGCACCCAGACAGACCAAGUCUCAAGGAACAGGUUGGCAAGGACACAGGAGAGGCGUCAUGGGAGGAACAAAACGGGAUAAGAAACCAGACGGGAUAAGAAACCAGACGGGAUAAGAAACCAGACGGGAUAAGAAACCAGACGGGAUAAGAAACCAGACGACUGACUGAGCGAAAGAAGAAAACGUCAGAGAAAGAAGGAAAGAGAGAAGGAUUGUGCGUUCUCUACUUUCUCAGAAGUGCAGCCCCUAAAUUCCUGUUACUAUGCCUGAGAGAGGGAGGGCAGCAGACCAGUCAAAAUGAACCCCUACGUCACCUCUCACUUUAGGAGGGAUCUCUUUCCCCACUUCCACUUGUUGUAGAGGCUUCUCUUCUCUUCACCCCUCUCUUACUGUUUGUGUGACAUGACAACACCUGGCUCUGUAUAAACCUUGGACAACAGGUAACACCUGUCUCUGUGUAAACCUUGGACAACAGGUAACACCUGUCUCUGUGUAAACCUUGGACAACAGGUAACACCUGUCUCUGUGUAAACCUUGGACAACAGGUAACACCUGUCUCUGUGUAAACCUUGGACAACAGGUAACACCUGUCUCUGUGUAAACCUUGGACAACAGGUAACACCUGUCUCUGUGUAAACCUUGGACAACAGGUAACAUCUGUCUCUGUGUAAACCUUGGACAACAGGUAACAUCUGUCUCUGUGUAAACCUUGGACAACAGGUAACAUCUGUCUCUGUGUAAACCUUGGACAACAGGUAACAUCUGUCUCUGUGUAAACCUUGGACAACAGGUAACAUCUGUCUCUGUGUAAACCUUGGACAACAGGUAACACCUGUCUCUGUGUAAACCUUGGACAACAGGUAACAUCUGUCUCUGUGUAAACCUCGGACAACAGGUAACACCUGUCUCUGUGUAAACCUUGGACAACAGGUAACACCUGUCUCUGUGUAAACCUUGGACAACAGGUAACACCUGUCUUUGUGUAAACCUUGGACAACAGGUAACACCUGUCUCUGUGUAAACCUUGGACAACUGGUAACACCUGUCUUUGUGUAAACCUAGGACAGAAGGUAACAUCUGUCUCUGUGUAAACCUAGGACAGAAGAUAACAUCUGUCUCUGUGUAAACCUAGGACAGUAGGUAACAUCUGUCUCUGUGUGAACCUAGGACACCAGGUAACGACUGUUGCCUUGGUAUUCUCCUGUGUUGUGCCUUUGUUGCUCCUAGUCAGGGUGUUACACUGUAAACUGUCCUCAGUGAUCUGGUCAAGGUGUUACACUGUAAACUGUCCUCAGGGAGCUGGUGAAGGGUUGAACUGUUCCUCAGCAACCUAGUAACAUGUUUAGCUUGUUCACUGGGGGUCAAAGACUUGCCAGUGUUCGAAACCACAGUUCACUGGAAAUGUGUACGGAAGGUAAAGUCUAAUAUCACAACCAAACAUUUUUUGUGUCAUUUGGAUUUGCCCUGAAUCAAACCUUUUGAGUUUUCUUUGUUUUUAUCCCUAAGGGAUUUGGCAUGCAACAAACAAAAAAAUCUCUCUUCCCAAAAUAUUACCUUUGUUUGCCUCAGUGGGUCGUUGUUUUUAACCAGUUUUCCUUGCACGUCCUCUGCCCAUUAUUGCCACAUUUUUCCAAAGGAAUUAGACUGGAAGCUUUUCUGAAAUGGAUAAACAUGUGUGUUCUCUGUCAAGCAGGGGUGUUGAGUGUGACACUUGAACCAAGAGGAGAGAACUAAAGCCAACCCGUUUGGAAAAAACAAGGACACAGCACCUCCGGUCUCAGGAUUGGACAGGAUUUGACCUCUGAAAUAAUCUUUGAGCUCUGAGUUUUCGUAGAGGUCAUCGACGGGUGUAUGCCCUGUGUGCCUGUUACCCCUCCCCUCUUUCCCCACAACCGGCCAAUAGGAUUCUGCUCCUCCUACACAUUCACUUUGACUCUAUAAUAGGUGUUGUAUAGAAUUAAUAUUGGUAUCAUAUGUAUAGGAUGAUACACAAACAUAGGUACACAGAAAGUACACACAAUUGUACAUGCCUUGGCGUUCUAGUCAAGUAAUUUCAUUCUCUCUCCUUUUAUUUAUUGUCUUUCUCCCUCUCUUUCCCUCACUCCCUCUGUUAUAGAGAAUUCUCCCAUGCAACUGUAGUGGAGAGUAAGUCUCCUUAUUGUUGUAUACAUUUUUACAACACUGAGUUAAUACGAUGUAGUUGAUCUGGUCAGUAGUCAGUCUGUGCAGUGUGUUCUGUACUGAAUUGACAAUGCCUUUAGGAGAAACACAGAGACUCUCAGGAAUAGGAUAUCCUGUUAAAUUAAGCAGUCACCUGAGAGAGCCACAAACAUAUUUCAAAUGUCUCUAAAAGUCUGCUUUUGUUGUGCCAAUAACUCACCACUGACAUUUGAGGACUUUUGUGUCUUGGAAAAGAUACUUGGAUUUGAGGGGAAACUGCUGGUCACAGUCUCCCACUUGUGAGAGACACUGAGUGAGUAUUAUUUACACAGUGCAUGGCUACUGUAGCUCAUAAAUGUAUUCCAAGGCCCUGUAGCAAAGGAAACAUAGAUAUAAAAGGGUGGAGGAACAUAUUCUGACUGAUAGGAAGUGAAUGUAUUGGAAUUGUGUACCAUUAUCUGAGUCAAUAGUCUAAGGAGUUCCUCCUCUGUUUCAAUCUGCCUUGUGUAUUUUCCAUGACCAAACCACUGGGAAAUGAAGAUUAUGGAACGUAAGAAACAGCAUGCUAUUCUUUUCUCUGCUGGUUGCAUGUUAGAUAUGUGUUAGAAACAUAGACACCGUUUGAUUGUACUGUACUGUGGAUCUACCCCUGGACUCUGUAUUGUCAUAUUGCACUUUAGUGAAUGUGGGGAGUAUAUAUCCUCCUUACUACUACCCCAUUGUAUCCCCAGCUCUCAUCCUUUCAAGCUUCUCAGUUCCUGUAGCCUGCUCAAUGUGUUUCCCUCGUGCUGUUUCAAACUGUCAGCAAAACUCCCGCUCCCUCGUAAGAUGGCCACAGACUAUGGGUCCCUCCUGUUGAUACCCUGGACACGUGUGUAACCUCCCUCUUCAGCCCAAAGGAGUGUAAGUACUACAGGGACUAUACAGUAUUACUGCGAGACUGUCUAUCUGCUGCUGUGGAAUACGUUUCUGAAACAACACUGCCUGUUGACCAGAGGAGUAUAUACAGCAACAACUUGACCACUGAGCUUCCUUCAAGAGAAUGGAAGGAAGACUGUGAAUCAGGACACUGUAGAGCUGUGAGUAACACUGACUGUUAAUAAAAA